rnacentral:lncRNA from 1 species
AUGGAUUCUAUCUCCUAUAAUCAGACUCAAACCGGAAGUGUCUCAAGGGAAAGAGAGAGGUGUGGGUGGAGGAAGAAUUCAAAGAGUGUUUCAGCUGCAGUCAUGUCAUUAAUACAACUUCUGAUCCACACCUCACGCUCCUUUUAUUCAAAGAAGCUACCCAGUUGUUACCUACUUCAAGAUGAAAAGUGCCAUAAUGAAUCCUCCUCAGGUCUCAACUGAUAGAAGAUUAAUAUUCAAGGUUCACCAGUACACCUUAUGGUAGGUGACUUCAUAAAACAUAGUUCAAUGUCAUAUUGAAAGCUGGAGACAAUUUUGUUGUUGCUGUUGGUAGACUUCAACUGAUGUAUUAUCUAUUACAAGAGAACUUCUAGAUGGAUUUGCAUCCAGUUGUUACAGGAAGUUUGUCCUAGAUAUACCUUUAAAAAUAAUCAAUACUACUAUUCCAGCUUCCGUGUAAAAUUGUCCAGACAGAUAUAAGUAAAAUUUGUUUUCAAAAUCUCUAGCACAUUUAAAGAAUAUCCUCCAGCCUUCAUAGUGCUGCCUUCCAGCUCUUAAUAAUCUUUAGUGCCAAAUUCCAGCUGUAAAGAAAGUUAACUAAAUGCCUGAACUGAAUUAAUUCUAUGAUGUUUACCGUAAUUUUUCUGAGUACUUCUGUGGACAGAAGGCUGCAAUCCUUGGAGGCCAUGUAAAGAAUCUUUGACAACCAAAGAUAAUUUUCAUUUUUCAAGUUUGUUUGUUAAUGUCCAGGUAAGAGCGUUGAGUCAUCAGAUUAUCUUGGACUCAAAUCCCGAUUCUCCCAUUUUUCUGCUAAUGUAACUGUGAACAAGUGAUCUAGUAUUUCAGAGCCUCAGUUUUGUCACUUGUAAAAUGGAGAUAAUUAUUACAAACUUAGCAGAUUGGUGAAAAGAUGAAAGAGAAAACACAUGUGAACUGCUAAGAUGUUGCAUGUAGUACAGAGAGCAUAUAGUAAGCAUUCCUAAAUACAGUAGCUUCUGUGGUUGCAUUUAUUAAUAUUAUUUGAUUACUUCAUUUAUUAAAAAUUUGACAAACAUUAUGUACAUUCAGUGUUACAAUCACUCUGUUAACUGUUUAAUAUCAUCUUGUGCUGCUGAAUUAGAUUAAAUUUAUAUAGUUCUAUUUUUAUUUUAUCGAAAAUUGUUCCUGAUCCUAUUUCACCUCCACACACAGGCUACUAACUUCAGUAAUAAGCCAAUCAUAAUAAAUAUUACUUAUUUUAAAAAAUCAAAAGAAAUAACAUUUAUUUUCUUUUAUGGCCCUACUGUGGAUAGCUAACUUAAAAAUGGAUCUUCUUUCUCUCUCAACUUAAACAUUUUUCUUUACCUUCUUUUAAGCAAAUGAUUUCAGUUUAACUUAGUGGAGAACAUGCAUGCUUUGAUCUCAGGCCGAAUUAGUUUUCAGUCUUAACAUUGCUACUUAUUAGCCCAGGAACUUAGAUUAUUAUGAACCUCUCUGAAUUUUGGCUUUCUCAGCUUUUCCAGACAUAAUGGGAAUAUCUGAGAAUGGAUGUGAAACUUAAAUAAAAUACUGUUACCUAGUUUAGUAUCUGACACUGAGUAGGUUCUCAAUAAAUGAUAUAUUCAUGAAAUGGAUUAAAAUCAGGCACAAGUUUUAAUCUGAAAGUGUCAUUUAUACUUUAACUUUUCAUUUGGAGUCUUAUUUUGACAAGUCUCACAAUUUUUAAAAAUCACUUUUGUUAAAGACAUUGCCUAUUAGAAGAACAUCAUACUACAUAAUUUUAGAACUCUUUGUCACAUGAAGCCUUUAUGGAAAACAUUUAAGGAAAAUUUUAAAUGGAAAUCAGGUGUCAGAAGUUUAAUUAGAAAAAUUCAUGCCUUAUACAUGGGACUAAUGUAGACUAUGGCAAGCUGCUUAAUUGUUGAUUCUAAGGCUAUUUUUACAUUGUCAACAUUCUAUUUAGUAAUCUUGGGGGAAAUAGCGUCAAAAGCAGACAAAGAAAAAUGUUUCACUUUCCUGCAGCUGAUUCCCGUGAUUGCCUGACGUUUAGUUACAUUUGGGCAUCUGUCUCAGGAACUUCCAUUGUCUGCAACCAUAUGCAAACUGAAGUGUGCAUUGGGGUAUAGACAUGUGGACAGAAUUUACACUUAGAUAUGCCAUCUAACAGCAGCGGGAGAAGCUGGACAAGCCUAAGAUACUUCAUACAGUCCAUUUAAUGAACUGUUACUUUAUUAUUUUGUAAAGCUUCUAUAAUGCACAUUUAUGAUAUAAAAAGUGCCUUGCAUACUGCUUCAUUGGAAGGGGACCUCAUUUAGAUUAACCUGUGACUUCAACAGCAGGUGGUAGAAUGAACCAACUGCUUCAAUUACUGCUUUUGCGCAUGACUUUCAUGUGUUGCUAAGAUUAUCAGAGGAACCUGAUUACCUCCCCUUAGACACUAUUGUUGGCACGAUGAUUAAGUUGUUAUUUUUUUUUUUAAGACUGGAAACCUAAAAAGCUUUUUGGCAUGAGGCAAAAGCACUGUGUAUAGAGAUCAGUAAGAUAGUGUGUAUCAUUGCCCUGUAGCUUAUCUCCACAUAUACAGCUCCCUGGUGGAUCCCUAUGAUAAACAUUAUUGGAACAAUUAGCUGCUGCUGACAC